UACGUAGGGGGGCUAGCGUUGUCCGGAUUUAUUGGGCGUAAAGAGCGUGUAGGCGGCCAUGUAGGUCCGGUGUGAAAACUCGAGGCUUAACCUCGAGAUGUCAUCGGAAACCAUUUGGCUAGAGUCCGGAAGAGGAGAGUGGAAUUCCUGGUGUAGCGGUGAAAUGCGCAGAUAUCAGGAAGAACACCAAUGGCGAAAGCAGCUCUCUGGGACGGUACUGACGCUGAGACGCGAAAAGCUAGGGGGAGCGAACAGG
rnacentral:rRNA from 1 species